rnacentral:rRNA from 1 species
CCUACGGGAGGCAGCAGUGGGGAAUCUUGCGCAAUGGGCGAAAGCCUGACGCAGCGACGCCGCGUGAGGGAAGAAGGCCUUCGGGUUGUAAACCUCUUUCAGGAGGGACGAAGCUACUCGGGUUAAUAGCCCAGAGGGUGACGGUACCUCCAGAAGAAGCCCCGGCUAACUACGUGCCAGCAGCCGCGGUAAUACGUAGGGGGCAAGCGUUGUCCGGAAUCAUUGGGCGUAAAGCGCGUGUAGGCGGCCAGAUAAGUCCGCUGUGAAAACUCGAGGCUCAACUUCGAGCUGUCGGUGGAAACUAUCUGGCUAGAGUCCGGAAGAGGAGAGUGGAAUUCCUGGUGUAGCGGUGAAAUGCGCAGAUAUCAGGAAGAACACCCGUGGCGAAGGCGGCUCUCUGGGACGGUACUGACGCUGAGACGCGAAAGCGUGGGGAGCGA